CGUGAGAUGUUGGGUUAAGUCCCGCAACGAGCGCAACCCUUAUUGUUAGUUGCCAUCAUUUAGUUGGGCACUCUAGCGAGACUGCCGGUGACAAACCGGAGGAAGGUGGGGAUGACGUCAAAUCAUCAUGCCCCUUAUGACCUGGGCUACACACGUGCUACAAUGGGAAGUACAACGAGUCGCUAGACCGCGAGGUCAUGCAAAUCUCUUAAAGCUUCUCUCAGUUCGGAUUGCAGGCUGCAACUCGCCUGCAU
rnacentral:rRNA from 1 species